rnacentral:rRNA from 1 species
UGGGUAGUCCGCACGAGCGCACCCUUUUCUUAGUUGCCAGCACGUUAUGGUGGGGACUCUAAGGAUACCGCCUGGGACAACCAGGAGGAAGGUGGGGAUGAUGUCAAGUCAGUAUGUCCCUUAUGUCCAGGGCUACACACGUGUUACAAUGGUAAGUACAAUGGGUCGCCAACCCGCGAGGGGGAGCUAAUCCCAAAAAACUUACCCCAGUUCAGAUUGGAGUCUGCAACUCGACUCCAUGAAGGAGGAAUCGCUAGUAAUCGUGGAUCAGCACGCCACGGUGAAUACGUUCCCGGGUCUUGUACACACCGCCCGUCACGCCAUGGAAGUCAGCAGUACCCGAAGCCGGUGGCCUAACCUUCGGGAGGGAGCCGUUUAAGGUAAGGCUGGUAACUGGGGCGAAGUCGUAACAAGGUAGCCGUACCGGAAGGUGCGGCUGGAUCACCUCCUUUCU